GGUUGGCUUCGUGGUGAUUUGUCCGACCGGCUUGCGGCCACGUUAAACCAAGCGCUAAAGAGGUCCGGCCCCGAGGUCC
rnacentral:ncRNA from 1 species